GGAAAAAUCUUUAUUCUUUAUAUAGUUGAACAAAAUGUGUAUUUAAUCUGAUUUCUUUAUUACGAUGUUUGAAUAAUUUCAAGUGGAGCGAUACCACUAUUUGGCUGUUAGACAUUCAAACUAUCAAUAUUUACAUUCUAACAAAGAUUCACAGUUCACUCUUCGACCUUCUUCGAAUGCUUCUCGAUGGCAUAGAUGUUAUGCCGUCGUAUUCAGUAAUAUACGCUCUAAAGUACCGUGCGGACACGAUGAGACUUCAGAUCAGAUCAGCGCGACAAAAUUUCAUACUGCGAUAUUUUAAAGUACAAGGAUUCACUUAUAGAUGCAAACUUUGUCGUGCAGUUGUUGGGUUUUCAAAAUUGAGAGAACAUUUAAUUCAUUCUCACAAAAUUUUUAGACUAAAUUGGCAAUAAAGGUAAAAAAUAUCAAUACCAUACCUGGGCGGAACUUCGACGUUACAUAGGAUGGAGAUAGAUUUCAAAAUGAUAAGAUUUGUAAUAAAUUUCUUUUGAGUGCGUAUAAAGGAUACAACUUUAGAGUAACAUUUGAUAUGUCGUCAUCCGUCAAUAUUAUAAUAGAAGAAAUAUAGAAAGAAGUUGAAUAUAUGUGGAUAUGGCUAUGGCCACAUUUCGACACAUCAAAGAAUCAGGACUUGUUCGAUUAUGAUAAAUGAAAGCAUUCAAGAAAGUAUUAUAAAAAACAGUAAUAAUUACAACAUUAAAACAAUCAUCAACUGAAGAAUAUAAUGCUGGUAUUUCUCAUCAGAUUGGUAUAUACAUAUAUUCGCAAGCUUCAAAAACUCAAGAAAAUGACAAUGACUACUGCAUAUUUGCAAGCUGAAGACAUUUAAAAAAAUGACAAUGACCGCAUCACUCGUUCGAUUAUGGCAUAAAUGAGAGAAGUCAAGAAAGUACUAGAAGAAAUAUUAUACUUAUAACAAUAACAAUCAACAACUGAAGAAUAUAAUGCUGAUACUUCUCAUCAGAUUGGUACAUAUUAAUUCGCAAGCUUCAAAAACUCAAGAAAAUGACAAUGGUUCAACUCCAGCGUUAUAUGCAUGGUUUAUGACAGAGUUCUGGAUUUUGAAGACAAUACAUUAAAUAGCAUCGGAUAUCCUAAUAUCUUAAAUGAGCUGUAAUUGAUGAAUAAACAGACGCAUCACUGCAAAUCCGUAAGUGUGUUAUUUUAACUGAAGCUCUUAAUUCUUCA